AGAAGCAGGCGGACGUCUAAAAACACAAAGGGCAGUGUGCCUUGAGAAACUGGCCUAAAUUCAAUUAGACGUCAUACUCUGCAACUAAUUAGUGUGAUGUGACAAAAUCUGAGAAGUUCUAACAGAUCGCAGCACACUGCAGAAGGAAAUCAAUCAUGUCUACUGCCAUGUUUAGCUGAAGGAAACAUGUAAAUAAUCUGUUUAAGGUGCAGUCCUGGCAAACGGGGAGAUGGCAGAGUGAGUGUGUUUGUUUGGAGGCAGGAGGAGGAGGUCACCUGCUGUUGAUGGUUGGCACUCAACAUUAGAGCAAACGGAUGACGUCAACCUAGACCCUCUACCUCCUGUGGACUGCGUGUUCGGAGAACCUUUCAUCUCCGGAAACAACACCUCUUCCACAAAGCUGGCCUCACAGAGCCCGACGCCGGAACCGAGGGCUCUUUCUGUCCAUCCUGCCUCCCCAUCUGCAGCGCUGUCAAUAAUUAUUGAAGUUUCUGUUAACGACUUCCAGAUUACAGCUCGGCUGAAGCGCUGUGGAGGAGAGAGAGAGUCUGAAACUGUGACUUAGUCGGAUGUGUUGGUACUGUACGGUUGAGGGCUCCUCCUGGAUCCCAUCACGAGAGGAUUAUAGAGGAAAAGGGCAACUGGGAUUGCUUGGAGAGCCGACCCCUUCCACUCGAGCCAGCACUCAAGCAGGGAUGAAGUGGAGGUGCAGAGACGACCCAGAGGGAAAGAGCACAGAGGGAAGGGAAAGGCAGGGAGGUGGCAUACUUUGGAUUCCCAAUAUGUGUCCGGGGAAUCCGAUGUGAGGCCAGAUGGCACGGGCCUGCCGGUCUUUGGGAAUCGCAGCAUACGGCUGUGGGAUGCGAGGCAGAAGGUAGCGAGGAAACGGUGCCGGGGUCAGCUCUUGAUGUUGGACGCUCCCCGGAGCUGUUCCUUUCCCAUCCCUUUGAACAAGAGAGCAUCUCCACACAACUGUGCCGCUUCUCUCUGCUUAAUGCGACGGUUUGACUUCAAACACAGCGCUAUUCCCCCCUGCCCAGAGCCUCCUGAGUUCCAAACAUAUGUUAUCAGACCUGAUGAAAACACCGUGCCAAUAACAUGCCACUGAGCUCCACGCUCGGGCAUAUGUGUGCCGUUUUCAUCUCGCACAAUUCCACGUGAUAACGCCAAAACAAACCGAUGCAACGCUCGCCGUACCGACCUGCUUUUCCGUUCAGACGACCAGGAUAGGAUGGAAGUCAAUUACGCCUGUCGACUCUCUUAGACAGAUGUCCAGCGUAACCUGGUUAGUGCUAAUAGGCAGGUUUUUAAACAAGAGCAAUUAUUCUUCCUCGCAGACCAGCAAAAGAGACGGAUGUUAAUAUCUGAUGCUGAAUGUGUGUGACAGGUGUUGCCUCCAAUUUCUCCAAGUCUCUCGUGGCAGCCCACUCUGUGAAAACAUCCGAAAACAGGCUUUCAGCCAACAUUGCAGAGAUCGCACACAUUUUUAGCACAUACUCUUUGACUUCGGGAAAGAAGGGGGGGGGGGGAAACAUGUGCAUGUGUGCAAUGAUCAUCUCUUACUAUUU